CCUACGGGAGGCAGCAGUAGGGAAUCUUCCACAAUGGACGAAAGUCUGAUGGAGCAACGCCGCGUGAGUGAAGAAGGGUUUCGGCUCGUAAAGCUCUGUUGGCAGUGAAGAAAGAUAGAGGUAGUAACUGGCAUUUAUUUGACGGUAAUUACUUAGAAAGUCACGGCUAACUACGUGCCAGCAGCCGCGGUAAUACGUAGGUGGCGAGCGUUGUCCGGAUUUAUUGGGCGUAAAGCGAGCGCAGGCGGUUCAAUAAGUCUAAUGUGAAAGCCUUGGGCUCAACCUGAGAAUUGCAUCAGAAACUGUUGAACUGGAGUGCAGAAGAGGAGAGUGGAACUCCAUGUGUAGCGGUGGAAUGCGUAGAUAUAUGGAAGAACACCAGUGGCGAAGGCGGCUCUCUGGUCUGCAACUGACGCUGAGGCUCGAAAGCAUGGGUAGCGAACAGGAUUAGAUACCCCAGUAGUC
rnacentral:rRNA from 1 species